UCAGACGGGGGGAGAGAGAAUGGGAAGAAAGACCGCACCAGCCUCGGCCACAGAUCCACUGCCUAGCUGCAUCUGCAUCCCAUCUUCAGGUACACCACACUUUUGCUGAUCGCGUGUUUCGUUAGUGCUCUGCAAUCGAACCCAUUAGAAUUCAGGUACCGGAUUUCUGCUCCGUUCACUGAUGCUUCCUCCUUGUUUUCUCACCCGUGUCGUCCGGUCCGGUAGCUGCCUGCCUGCCUGCCUCCCGGUCUCUGCUUCUCGUGGUUCCCUGUUUCUCCCCUCAGCUGUGUACGCUACAGCCGUGGUCUCAACGCGAGUCAUGGCGCGCCUCUUGUUCCAUCUGAUCUUCUUCUUUCCCGAACAUCCAAGUAAUUUCUUCUUUCCCAAACAUCCAAGUAAUAUCUCCUCCGACAGUCAUCAAUAUGCUGUUCAUUUUGAUCAAGAUUCAAGAACAAGCUGCACUAUUCGACGAAAACAAGAUGCCCUUCCAUCCAAACUUUAGCGCCCACUCCAGAUUCUGUUAAUUUUCCACAGCUCCAACACACCAGCCUUUAUAUGUUUUUUUUUCUUUCAACUGAAACAGACCAACAUCUCUGUCUUAAACUAUUGGCAUAUGGAGACUGCCUGAAACUGACCCUUCUACUUGCCUUGUACCAUGUUGGUUCUCCUUACCUUUAUUUUCCCUUUCGCUUUCGCUUGUCGGCCAAUAACUCUGACCACAAAGAUUCAAAGAAAAACAUGUUGCAUCCUGAACCACACACCAGUCACUCUUUCUAUGGAUUUGAACACAGUUUUCUCCUAUUUCGAUGAACAGAUAAAAUCAUAGCGAGUUUCCUGUCGUAGUUGUUGAUGCUGUGGACGAUACAAUCAAUAUGGUAACCAUUGAAACAUAGUGUAAGGCCAAACAAACUACCUGAAACGCUUCGCAGGAUUCCCUUGAUCCUCCUUUUCAUGGAAGAGACAUGCAGCUAUGCUGCGUUUGCCCAAACAAAGAAGAAGGGGUAAAAAGGAAGCCUCGGU
rnacentral:lncRNA from 1 species